rnacentral:rRNA from 1 species
GUGGGGAAUAUUGGACAAUGGGGGCAACCCUGAUCCAGCAAUGCCGCGUGUGUGAAGAAGGCCUGCGGGUUGUAAAGCACUUUCAGUGGGGAGGAAAAGCCUGGGGCUAAUAUCCCUGGGUCUUGACGUUACCCACAGAAGAAGCACCGGCUAACUCCGUGCCAGCAGCCGCGGUAAUACGGAGGGUGCGAGCGUUAAUCGGAAUUACUGGGCGUAAAGCGCGCGUAGGCGGCUGACUAAGUCGGGUGUGAAAGCCCCGGGCUCAACCUGGGAAUUGCAUUCGAUACUGGUUGGCUGGAGUCUGGUAGAGGGGUGUGGAAUUCCAGGUGUAGCGGUGAAAUGCGUAGAUAUCUGGAGGAACAUCAGUGGCGAAGGCGGCACCCUGGACCAAGACUGACGCUGAGGUGCGAAAGCGUGGGUAGCAAACAGGAUUAGAUACCCCGGUAGUCC